rnacentral:rRNA from 1 species
CAAACGCUGGCGGCGUGCCUAACACAUGCAAGUCGAACGUGAAAGUCGGCUUCGGCCGACGAGUAAAGUGGCGCACGGGUGAGUAGCGCGUGGAUAAUCUACCCUUCAGUUGGGAAUAACUCAUCGAAAGGUGAGCUAAUACCGAAUAACACUGCCUGACCACGGUCCGGUAGUCAAAGAUAGCCUCUGCUUGCAAGCUUUCGCUGAAAGAUGAGUCCGCGUACCAUUAGCUAGUUGGUGGGGUAAUGGCCUACCAAGGCGACGAUGGUUAGCUGGUCUGAGAGGAUGAUCAGCCACACUGGAACUGAGACACGGUCCAGACUCCUACGGGGGGCAGCAGUGAGGAAUCUUGCGCAAUGGGGGCAACCCUGACGCAGCAACGCCGCGUGAGUGAGGAAGGUCUUCGGAUCGUAAAGCUCUGUCGGGUGGAAAGAAAUGUAUGGGGUUAACAGCCUGCAUACUUGACGGUACCACCAAAGGAAGCACCGGCUAACUCCGUG